rnacentral:lncRNA from 1 species
AUAUAAUUUGUUAUGCGAGCCUGUUGGGAAUUUUGUUUAAGCUACAGGAUAAAUAUGGUGAUCAUCACCUUAGCCUUGAUAUGACGGAGUAAAUUCAAUUUGAUCCAGAUGUCAAGUAUAUGGAGAUAUUUCAUGGCUGUUUGGGUUAAUUGCCUGUUAUUUGGUUGAUUAAUUAGUGCUAUGGCAAUCCCAUGUGCUGGUACUGGGUUGGGUUGUCAAAUGUAGCAGUAAUGUGGAUCUAAGGUAGUAUAUUUUACCAACUCAACGCUACAAACUUUUAAUCUUUGCCAAUUGGGAUCG